rnacentral:snRNA from 1 species
GCUAGGUCUAGAGGGAAGU